UAGAGUCUGAGGGACAGAGAGGAGACGUGCAGAUAUAAUGAACAAUGUCUAGUGACGGGAGAACAGAACCUGACCUUUAGAGGACUCAUCCUGGUUCUGUUCUGUUUACAGCAAGGAGUGAAGUACAUAAUGUAGAAACACAACAAGGCAGAGAUUGCACGGACUGAAACAGAACCUUCCCCAGUAACGCUCACGUCGAGCUCAGAGUCACAGCGAAACGUCGUCGAUCUGAUGGAACCGGUCCGAAUGUGUGUGCUGUGAAGGUGCUGCAGGAUGAUGUCAUUUCACUUAGGGCAGAGGAAUGAGGUCAGUAAAUAGGAAACAUAUGUAGACACAGUAACAUGCAGUGUCUGACGGAUGGUCCAACCAGGAACCUUCACAGAACCUCUUUAAUCAGAGCUGAGUAAAGUCCUUGUGGACGGGAAGCGUCCUCGCAUGAGCAGUGGGACAGACGCAGCUAAAGACAGAGACCUUGAGCCAUUAGAGCCAGUGUGGGUUCCUCGUGCUGCAGAGGGUGAUACGACAUGGAACAUUUUCUUGUCUGAGCUCAGGCUGUUUCUACACACACGCACUCAGGAAAGCCAGGGUGCAUUAGCCCAGACCGGACAGACAGGAACCGCCGUGAUCGGAGCAUCGCUGUAAUCCUUCCUCAGGAAGCAGGAUCUGCGAGCGGGUCCUGGACCACAGCAUCAAUGUGGGAACGUGAGGAUGAAGGAGAACAUGUGCCUGCAAACCCCUGAACACAGCGGCUUCCUGUGUGAGCCCAGCUCCCGAUGUUUAAUGUGCUACAGCUCUGGCCACAGUGAGGAGAAGGAUCAGAUCUGGAUCUGGAACCAGAACAAAGAACUGGCCUGUUCCAGAAGAAUCUGAAAAGAAGCGUGGAGCCGUUACACGAGGACAGAGACUGAACCAGUCCAACCCAGACUCACUGAUGUAUGUUGGUGUUUUCAACUCUUCCGCCUGAUUAACAUCUGCUUGUUGCCAACGGUUACCAAACAAACAGGCUGAAACAAUGGAGUCCGAAUAGAAAGGCCUCAGUGCCUUUCUGUCUGCGGGGGAGGAAACAUGAGAUGUUAUACUCAGAAAGAGACACGACGACGCUGGGAAAGAAUUAAACUUCUGAGUUGGUGUUUGCUUCCAGGAUGUCACUGGCCGCUUUCACACUGUCAAUCAAACUAAAGCUGGAGAACCGAGUCUGGGUCAGGACGGUUCUGGGUUUAGAAUGAGGCUGAGAGGGACAGGAAGCCAAACCGGGUUACAGAACUGGUGCAGUAGCACAUUCUGCACAGGGUCCUCUAGAGACGCAGCAGGUGAGGCCACUGGGAGACAUUUGGAGCCAAAGGUUUUUAAGUUUGAGGACCAGGUCGGGUUCAGACCAAAUCUAGAGUCAGAGUGAUCAUCAGCUGUUUAUCCUGGAGACACUCACACAGCUCACACCUAUAAAGACAGAAGAGCUCUCACAGCUGGUGAGUCAGCUGAUCAAACUGCUGACUGUAGAUGAAGACAUGUGAUGUCACCACUGUGAUCCUGUCGCCCUCACCCAGAUGCAUUCUGGGAGGUGUAGGACACACAGCAGGGACUCCUCAUCUUUCAGAGUGCAUGUGCCGGUCCAGAGGCCGCUGGCAGCCGCUCGGUUCCUCCAGCAGGAAACAUGAGCUCAUCAGCUGUCUGAGCCCAGAGACGCUGGCUUCAUUCGAGCAUUCCUGCGCCGUGACUGCUCCCACACAUGUUAACCAUUACACUGAGACUGACACAAUGACCCACAACAUACCGGUACCGGGCUACGCUAGCUCUUCUAAUGGUUACAGAGCAUCAGCAGCUCUGUUCUCUCCAACUCGGCUGGAGCUGAAACCAUGAGCUCGUUCAUCUCAGGGAUCUGUUCAUAGAGCGUCUUGCGAAACAAGGUUCUGGUCCAGACACCAGGUAACGUCCUUCACCCGAUGCCUUUUCUCCUAGUAAGUAACAAUAGUAAUUAAUCUCUCAGCAGCACUACUGACACACUGACCAGUCAGUGAUCCACAUUACGUCUGUCUCGUUUCUAUGUGCCAUGUUUGUCAGCAGAACCUGUGACCUGGGUUUGUUCUGGCAGCAGGCGCUGGAUGUUUGUGACAGCAAAGUGGACAAGACUUCCAGAACUCCCUAAGUUCUGGUGCUUCCAUCAGAACCGUCUGAACUGACUUGUCCUCGCUGGAUCUCUGCUGGUUUCCUCCCUCCAGUCUAUUUUCAGCAGCUGUCGGUGGAGCGACAGCAGAGCCCAGCUGUCGUGCCAUCAAUCAGCCCCGUGAUCCCCCUCCAGGCCUCACAGAACCCGACCAGCGUGCGCAGAGUUCCCGGAAUGUUCAGGAACGACGAGGUUGAUUCUUUUAGAGCUGCUCCUUCAUUAAAGCUUUUACUUUCAACACUUUACUGGAAAGAGGCACAGAAUGAAGUCCAAGUAUGAACACGUGUCUGGACUCAGGUCCAUCAGGAGGAGCGAUCAGGUCCGACACUGGGAUGUUUGUUAUCUGAUCCGCUGGGGGAACCCUUCUGGAAAGAUCCACUUGGUCAGCGCUCGUCCAUUCAGAACCACCAACACGAGCCAACAGGAAGCAGAGGAACCUUCCACACAUUGAAGCUGCACCCGGACAAUGAGUGAAAUAACGAGGUUUAAUUUUCAACGGAGCUUCUCUGGUUUUGUUAUGAACCAGGUUGCGCUCUGUUCUGAGCAGAAAUUUGUCCUGAAGGCAACGUGUGGUUCCACCUUUACAACCGAAGUCGUUGCUGGUCGUUUAAGGGAACCUCCUCGUGACAGAAAGAGCAGCCACACUAACGGCGUGCUUGGUUCCGGUUGUUCGGCACAACUAGGCGGCCACCACGUGAACACCGUGAAGCGGCUCCCCCCUGGAACGCACGUUUCGCGUCGUUUGACCACUUACCGAUGGAAACCAGUUUGAUGUGCUCCCUCUCCAGGAACUCCAGCGCCACAGAAACGUUCUCCAGCUUCAUCUGCCUGAAGUUGGGUCUGCUGUGAUACUUCCUGUACAUCUUCUUCUGGCUCAGCACCUCCAGCAGCCCGAUCAGCUUGAGCCCGUCGCUCAGGUCCUUCUGCAGGUCGUUGAUGCGCUUGUUGAGGACCUUCAGGUGCUCGUUGCACCACCUGGUGAACGUGUUCUGCUGGAUCUUCUUCCACGGAGCAUCCUCCGCGAGGUCCUUCUCGGUGGCGGGCAUCUCCUCCUCCUCCUCCUCGAUGUCGGCGGAGCUCUGGUAGAAGUGCGGAGGCAGGAGCUGCGGCUCCAAGUAGCCGCUGUUUUUCAUCAUGGUGCCUUUUUAUAGCACAAAUCCGAGUGGGAAGAGAAGAGAAGUUGGGAAAACGAGAGGACGGGGGAGAGGCGCCCGGCCCGCUGGGAGUGACGCUCCGCGCUCCACCGAGUUCAAGGCAGAGAAAGACUCCGUUUGUUCCUUUCGGGCCAACUCGGAACCAAGUAGUGGGUCGACGGGCAGGAGAAGCAGGGACUGCGGCGGAGCAGCGAGUCGGGGUUUAAGAGGCUCGUCGUCACUGCGCUGGCCUCCCAGGAAUGUCCCCGCCGUGACCAUAUACAACGGCGGCCCGGGCACCGCUCGCCCGCCGCUCAUUGGGCGGCGGCGGCAGGGGGCGGGGUCAGACGGACCCCCGCAGCCCUGGCCCCGGACCCGCGGUGACACCUCCGCGUAUUUUUAGAGGCUCCGGAGCGGAGGCGGACGCCGAGAGCUGGCUGAAAAGCUGCUCGUAAAGCGGCAUCAUCCGCAGACAGUCUGUUGGAAAGAAGGGAAACGAAAAAUAACGGAGAUAAACCAAUAACCUGCUUUACUUUAUGCCAACGUGAAGCUGAGUGGAACUCACGUGUUCCAGCAUUAUUUAAAAACCCACUGCUCCAUUUAAAGUUUACUAUAAAAGCAGUGAGUCACAGUUGUGUCCUCAUCCAGUAAAAAGCUGGACAGUAAAUAUAGAGAAACUAAA